rnacentral:rRNA from 1 species
GAUGAACGCUGGCUACAGGCUUAACACAUGCAAGUCGAGGGGAAACGACGGGGAAGCUUGCUUCCCCGGGCGUCGACCGGCGCACGGGUGAGAAACGCGUAUCCAACCUGCCUCUGACUGAGGGAUAACCCGUCGAAAGUCGGCCUAAUACCUCAUGGCAUCGUCUGCGGGCAUCCAACGACGAUUAAAGAUUUCAUCGGUCAGAGAUGGGGAUGCGUCUGAUUAGCUUGUUGGCGGGGUAACGGCCCACCAAGGCGACGAUCAGUAGGGGUUCUGAGAGGAAGGCCCCCCACAUUGGAACUGAGACACGGUCCAAACGCCUACGGGAGGCAGCAGUGGGGAAUAUUGGUCAAUGGGCGAGAGCCUGAACCAGCCAAGUAGCGUGCAGGAUGACGGCCCUAGGGGUUGUAAACUGCUUUUAUGCGGGGAUAAAGUGAGGGACGUGUCCUUCAUUGCAGGUACCGCAUGAAUAAGGACCGGCUAAUUCCGUG